AUAUGCAGGUCAUACCAUCUGAGAAAUCAGUCCCUCCUCUCUGUAUGUCCUAUAAAAGCUAAAGGUGUGCAAAGUUUGUUCCUUACAGAGACUUCAGAGGCAGAAGCAGAACAACCUGAGAGACUAACUCCUGUGUGCAAUUGAACCAGCACGUAACAGACAGGUGAACACUAAAAACAAAAGUGAAACCACCCUGAGGCGCACUGACAGAGGCGAGGCUGC